rnacentral:tRNA from 1 species
GCUCCCGUAGCUCAGCAGGAUAGAGCAGCGGCUUCCUAAGCCGAAGGUCGACAGUUCGAAUCUGUCCGGGAGUG